rnacentral:rRNA from 1 species
GACGAACGCUGGCGGCGUGCUUAACACAUGCAAGUCGAACGGACAGGCCCUGAUUUUGUGUGGUGCUCGAGUGGCGAACGGGUGAGUAUCACGCGAGUAACCUGUCCUUGUCUUUGUGAUAUCUCCAGGAAACUCGGGCUCAUACCGGAUAGGAGCUCCUGCUGCACGGUGGGGGUUGGAAAGAUUCGGUGGUUCGGGAUAGUCUCGCUGCUUACCCGCUUGUUGGUGAGGUAGUGGCUUACCAAGGCUUUGACGGGUAGCCGGCCUGAGAGGGUGACCGGCCACAAGGGGACUGAGGUAGGCCCCAGACUGCUACGGGAGGCAACAGUGGAGAGUAUGGCGGAGUGGGGGGGAGCGUGUUGCGACGGUGCUCCGUGCGGGAUGCUGUCCUUCGGGGUGUAAACCGCUGUCGACUGUGACGUAGCGUGAGUGACGGUAAUGGGUAAGAAAGCACCGGCUAACUACGUG